rnacentral:rRNA from 1 species
CCUAUCAGCUAGUUGGUGAGGUAAUGGCUCACCAAGGCGACGACGGGUAGCCGGCCUGAGAGGGUGACCGGCCACACUGGGACUGAGACACGGCCCAGACUCCUACGGGAGGCAGCAGUGGGGAAUAUUGCACAAUGGGCGCAAGCCUGAUGCAGCAACGCCGCGUGAGGGACGACGGCCUUCGGGUUGUAAACCUCUUUUAGUAGGGAAGAAGCGAAAGUGACGGUACCUGCAGAAAAAGCACCGGCUAACUACGUGCCAGCAGCCGCGGUAAUACGUAGGGUGCAAGCGUUGUCCGGAAUUAUUGGGCGUAAAGAGCUCGUAGGCGGUUUGUCGCGUCUGCUGUGAAAUCUGGGGGCUCAACCCCCAGCCUGCAGUGGGUACGGGCAGACUA